GAGUUUGAUCCUGGCUCAGAACGAACGCUGGCGGCGUGCUUAACACAUGCAAGUCGAACGUGAUUCAGAGCUUGCUCUGAUGAAAGUGGCGCACGGGUGAGUAACGCGUGGAUAACCUGCCCUGGUAUCUGGGAUAACAUCUCGAAAGGGGUGCUAAUACCGGAUAAGCCCACGGGUUCUUCGGAGUCUGCAGGAAAAGGAGGCCUCUAUUUAUAAGCUUCCGUAUCAUGAUGGGUCCGCGUACCAUUAGCUAGUUGGUGGGGUAAUGGCCUACCAAGGCGACGAUGGUUAGCUGGUCUGAGAGGAUGAUCAGCCACACUGGAACUGAGACACGGUCCAGACUCCUACGGGGGGCAGCAGUGGGGAAUUUUGCGCAAUGGGGGAAACCCUGACGCAGCAACGCCGCGUGAGUGAUGAAGGCUUUCGGGUCGUAAAGCUCUGUCAGAGGGGAAGAAAUGAAACGUGCUAAUAUCACGUUUUCUUGACGGUACCCUCAAAGGAAGCACCGGCUAACUCCGUGCCAGCAGCCGCGGUAAUACAAGGGCSMACSCMAAARAUAUCCAUCACWCCUGKCGGSCGCUCGAGCRGGCAAAACAGGACCGGAGGGAAGCASCAUUKUUUCUKACU
rnacentral:rRNA from 1 species